rnacentral:rRNA from 1 species
UAGCUCAGCCCUUAACGAGUACCGGAUUUGCCUAAUACUCAGCCUUACUGCUUAGACGUGCAAUCCAAUCGCACGCUUCGCCUAUCCUACUGCGUCCCCCCAUCGAUUAAAACGAUUAUAGGUGGUACAGGAAUAUCAACCUGUUAUCCAUCGCCUACGCCUGUCGGCCUCAGCUUAGGACCCGACUAACCCAGAGCGGACGAGCCUUCCUCUGGAAACCUUAGUCAAUCGGUGGACGGGAUUCUCACCCGUCUUUCGCUACUCACACCGGCAUUCUCACUUCUAAGCGCUCCACAUGUCCUUACGAUCAUGCUUCAACGCCCUUAGAACGCUCUCCUACCAUUGUCCAAAGGACAAUCCACAGCUUCGGUAAUAUGUUUAGCCCCGGUACAUUUUCGGCGCAGUGUCACUCGACUAGUGAGCUAUUACGCACUCUUUAAAUGAUGGCUGCUUCUAAGCCAACAUCCUAGUUGUCUGGGCAACGCCACAUCCUUUUCCACUUAACAUAUAUUUUGGGACCUUAGCUGGUGGUCUGGGCUGUUUCCCUUUCGAACACGGACCUUAUCACCCAUGUUCUGACUCCCAAGUUAAAUUAAUUGGCAUUCGGAGUUUGUCUGAAUUCGGUAACCCGAGAGGGGCCCCUCGUCCAAACAGUGCUCUACCUCCAAUAAUCAUCACUUGAGGCUAGCCCUAAAGCUAUUUCGGAGAGAACCAGCUAUCUCCAGGUUCGAUUGGAAUUUCUCCGCUACCCUCAGUUCAUCCGCUCACUUUUCAACGUAAGUCGGUUCGGUCCUCCAUUCAGUGUUACCUGAACUUCAACCUGACCAAGGGUAGAUCACCUGGUUUCGGGUCUACGACCAAAUACUAAACGCCCUAUUCAGACUCGCUUUCGCUACGGCUCCACAUUUACUGCUUAACCUUGCAUCAAAUCGUAACUCGCCGGUUCAUUCUACAAAAGGCACGCCAUCACCCAUUAACGGGCUCUGACUACUUGUAAGCACACGGUUUCAGGUUCUAUUUCACUCCCCUUCCGGGGUGCUUUUCACCUUUCCCUCACGGUACUGGUUCACUAUCGGUCACUAGAGAGUAUUUAGCCUUAGGAGAUGGUCCUCCCAGAUUCCGACGGAAUUUCACGUGCUCCGUCGUACUCAGGAUCCACUCAAGAGAGACAACAUUUUCGACUACAGGAUUAUUACCUUCUUUGAUUCAUCUUUCCAGAUGAUUCGUCUAAUGUCGUCCUUUGUAAACUCCGUA